CUUUGCAGGCACAAAACAAUACUUCACAUCACAGGAGCAAACAUGGCCAAACAAUCCACCCUCAUGGCUUCGUUUGUACUACUUCUCUUGUUGAUGGCUUCUGGUCGGGCAAUUUCGACAGCUCCCGGAUUCGAAGCAGAUGCAUGCAUGAGAGAUGCUGAUUGCCGGGCUGAGUGUGGGAAGUGCCCCGGUGCCAAUUGCCUCGGCCACAAGUGCUUCUGCACAUGCGAUACCUGAUGGCCUAUCCUUCUCUAAAAAUAAGAUCCAUCAACAUGGAUGGAGUAGCACAAAUUCGCCUUCAUGAAUCCCAAGUGAUGCUGCGGCCUUUGUAUCAGCUAAGUUAAAUGCAAUAUAGAGCUUCAAUAAAAAGUUCUCAAGAAAAAAGUUCAACAAA